rnacentral:tRNA from 1 species
GUUCUUUUAGUUUAUUUUAAAAUUCUGAUUUGUGAAUUCAGAGAUCUUUUUAAGGAGGAACC